UUGUUUCAUAGUGAUUAUUCUUUUUAUUCCCAUAAGAAUAUAAAUUUGCCUUAAUUUGAGAAACACAAGAAAUCUUUAUAUGAGAAUUGCUAAAAAAUGAGGUAUCUGUCACACAGUAACUUCAAUAAAAUAGUCAUUAAAUAUUAAUUCGGGAAAUGUUUAUAAUAAAUGUGAAGGCACAUUCCAGUUCCCCAUCUUAUAUAAAUAAUAAUGAGAACAUGAAUUUUAUUUGAGCUAAUAUGAUUGCAUUAUUAAUUCUUAAGUGGAAGAUAAUAGAAUAUAACAAGUAGCAAAAUGAAAACAAAGACUGAAAAUACAGCACCCAAGUCAAUGAUAACUUGAACUAAAAAAAACUAUCAUAUUAUCAUAUUAUAUACUUGUGAUUUAUAAUAAGAAAUAUAUUUGGUCUUUGUCCCUAUUCCUGGCACAGAGCUCUUAAACCCUUACAAAUUCAAAAGUGGUAAGAGCACUAAGGAUAUCUUUUGUUUUUAUAUUUGGUCUUUGACCCUGGUUCCUGACUCAGGGCUUCUUAAACCCUUGUAAAUUCCUAAGUUCUAAGAGCACUAGAAAUAUCUUUUGUUCUAAUGAGGUGACUUUGGGUGGGGUCCUGAUCUGGUGAUCAGCCCUCAUAGAUGGAGGCUGGUCACCAUAAAGACCAAGUCACGCUUAGAAGCUUGGAAUUUUCAGUCCAAUUCACCACCCUCCAGAGAGGGGAAAAGGGCUAGAAAUGGAGUUAAUAAUUGCUCAUGCUUAUAGAAAGAAGCUUCCAUAAAAUCCCAAUAGUAUGGAGGUUAGAGAGCUUCUGGCUUGGUGAAUACAUCCACAUACCAAGAGGGAAACACACUCAAACUCCAUGAUGACAAGCUUCUGUGUCUGGGACCUUCCCAGAUCUUGCCUAGGCACCUCUUCAUCAGCCUGUUCAUCUGUAUCUUUUAUCAAAUUCUCUAUCAAUUGUUUUUUUUUCCAAACUAAUAAUAAUAAUAAUAAUAAUAAUAAUAAUAGAAAGGGAACAAAGGAGGAGAGGUAGAGAAAAUCAUCUUUCAUCAACUCUUUAAGAAAAAAAAUUUUUAAAAAGAACUAGUUAGAGAACAAAGAAAACAAUUAAAAGACUUAUAUAUGCUUCUAUUUAUAAUUAUAAUUUAUAUAUGUGUAUGUGUUCUGGGUCUUUAGAUCCAACUAAUAUUUUUAAGUAUUUAAAAGUUGCUCUAAGAAUAUACAAUCUAGGUAGGGUGAAAAAACAAAAACCAGAAAUUAUUUAUAAUGAUAGGGUGGAAUGCCAAGGUAGCGAUAGGGUUAUUAAGCAAUAUGACACUAUCAUGAUUUAUUUAAGCUAAAGAAUUGGCAUGAUUUAGUAGAAACUACUCCUAGGUAAAAUAAUAGCAUUUGUGGAGUUGCUAAGAAAUACCUCGUCAAACAGAGUUUUUAAUAGCACAUGGCUAACAGAUCUUAUCACAACUUCUGCCAACUGUUCACUAAAAGAUCUACAUAUAUAUACUUGAGAAAAUAAAAACUGUAAUCAUAGUGGGAGGAUUCUAUUUCUCUCAGAGGUUGACAAGUCAGACAGACAAAUAUAAGACUGGAAAGCACUUGAAUAACACAAUUUAUAAGCUAACUCUAAUAAAAUAUCACUUUAUAUACCACAAAGGGAAUAUAAAUAUACUUCCAAAACUCCUAUAUAUUAGAAAAUAAAUCAACAAAGCAUCAAAUUCACAAACUGUAAACAGAACAACAAAAUAAAUACCAACAUAAGUAGAAAGGAUUAAGCAGGGAAAGUAAUAGAAUGAAAAAUACAGAUUAUAAACAUUCCUAUGUAAAUUGAUUGGAAAACAGAAUCAGCAAGAUAGUUAUUGAAUAUGCAUAAUAGUCAGGCAGACUUUAUCCCAAGAUUGCAAGAUUUCUUUAUAAGGAAGUCUAUUCAUGAAAUUCACAAGAUUAACAGAUUACAUGGAAAAAUUAAAUCAUUUCAAAUUACUCUAAAAACUUUUGAUAAAAGUAAAAACAUUUUCUGAAUUAAAUAGAAUACACCAGCAAUGGGAGGGAGGACUUUCUCAAGGUAAAAUAUAUCUCCUAGAAACACACAGCAAGUAUUAUACUUAGAGUUGACAUUAAAAUAAUUUUUAUUAUCAGAAGAUAAGGAUUCAGGGAGCUAGGCAAUAUCGUAGUGGAGCACUUACCCAAUGCAUUAAGAUGGCAAAAAGAAUGAGAGAAAAUUGUCAUUAUUUGUACAAAAUAAUGUUGUAUAAUACAACAGAAUCAACUGAAAACUGUUAGAAUUGACAAGAAACCAGCAAAGUUGCAGGAUAUAAACCCCCCAAAUUCUCCAUAUUAGCAAUGUUCAAUUUUAUAAGGUCAUUUAAAAAGGAUUCUAUUUGGGGAUUCCUGGGUGGCUCAGCGGUUUAGCGCCUGCCUUCGGCCUGGGGCAUGAUCCUGGAGUCCCGGGAUUGGGUCCCACAUCCGGCUCCCUGCAUGGAGCCUGCUUCUCCCUUUGCCUGUGUCUCUGCCUCUCUCUCCCUCUGUGUCUCUCAUGAAUGAAUAGAUAAAAUCUUAAAAAAAAAAAAAAAAAA
rnacentral:lncRNA from 1 species